AUUGAACGCUGGCGGCAUGCCUUACACAUGCAAGUCGAACGGCAGCACGGGAGCAAUCCUGGUGGCGAGUGGCGAACGGGUGAGUAAAGUAUCGGAACGUGCCCAGUCGUGGGGGAUAACGUAGCGAAAGUUACGCUAAUACCGCAUACGAUCUAUGGAUGAAAGCGGGGGAUCGCAAGACCUCGCGCGAUUGGAGCGGCCGAUAUCAGAUUAGGUAGUUGGUGGGGUAAAGGCUCACCAAGCCGACGAUCUGUAGCUGGUCUGAGAGGACGACCAGCCACACGGGGACUGAGGCACGGCCCAGACUCCUACGGGAGGCAGCAGUGGGGAAUUUUGGACAAUGGGCGAAAGCCUGAUCCAGCAAUGCCGCGUGCAGGAAGAAGGCCUUCGGGUUGUAAACUGCUUUUGUACGGAGCGAAAAGGUCUCCUCUAAUACAGGGGGCUCAUGACGGUACCGUAAGAAUAAGCACUGGCUAACUCUGUGCCAGCCGCCGCCGUAA
rnacentral:rRNA from 1 species